CCCAAUUCCAGCUGUUGCAGUGUUUUGGGGAGGGAGCCAGCUGAUGGAAGACCACACUCUGUCACUCUCUUUCUGGAACUCUACCUUUCAAAUAAGGAAAAUAAAUAAAAAAAAGAGAUUUUUAUCAAAUCCUUUAGGUAAUUUUGUCAAUGAUUAUGUGAAUUUCUGUUUUAAAUCAUAUAACUUCUCUGGGUACAAUCUGGUCAUUCCUUUGUAAUGACGUUAAGUUUAUUCUUUAUUAAAAUAAACCCCUCCCAAAGCAUGAGGGUGACAAGUGGAGAUAGCAGAUGUUUUAUUCAUAUUCAAUCUCAACACAAAAACUUUCAAUAAUCAAUGAUUAUGUGGUAAUGUUGAUGUGCAGAUAUUUAUUGUGUUGUGUUAAACCUUUCUCUCUGCCAUGUGUCACCAAUGUUAACCAUUUCCAGGGGUGAUUCUCUUGGUCAUUGCUAGACUCCACUUGGAGAGCACUGCAUUCAAUUCUACAAAUUGUGGGACUGCUUCUCAUUUGCCUCCUGAAUGAGAUGGCCUCAGCAUCAUACUUUUCACACCAGGUUUAUUUGGUUUUCCUGCACUGUGAUUGACAGAAUGCUCUCUCUCUCUCUCUGUAGGAAGUGUUUAUGGAUGUUUUUUUGUCCCACACCAUUGAAACAUUCUCUGGAAUUCCUUGUGGAGUGAUUUUUUCCUGCUACUCAGUUUCAUCCUGGGAAACUUUGCAUGUUCAUAACUUUCUACAUUUCUCAUGUUUUUAUGGGACUCACCUAGAGGCUGAAUGUGCCACAGUGACCCUAAGGUAAAAUCAAGUAAAGAGAACACUAAAGAAUUGCUGUGAUGCAGGAAAGAUAGUUGUGUCUGUGAAAAGUGCUGUGAAAACAGAGGUGAUUAAGAGGAUGGGAAGCUGUGGGAGAUUCAAUACUUAAUAUUGAGUACAAUGCAGGGGCACCUCCCAGCAUCUGUGUAAAUCUAUCCAUAAUGAUCCCCUCCCCUUCUUAUUCUGAUGUAUUUAUUAUUUGGAUCCAAUCGAUUGGGAUGUCAGUGAGAAGUGUCUCUACAUUUAAAUACUCAUCAGCAGCUGCCUGAUUGUUUCUCAUAGCUCCAUGGUGCACUGCUUUGCAGUAUAUUUACUUUGCAAAACCUUUCAACCAACACCAGUUUUUUCUCAGUAUCAUCACUCACAUCUCAAAUUCUCUGUCCUACUUACUCGGUGGUCAGUUCCAGUCCCCAGGGACAGAGGUGAACUGGUGACUGUAGCUUGAACCUUUGCCUGUAUCUUUGUUUGCAAGGCUAAGGAAUUCCACCUCGCCUGUCCAAAGACUCCAAGACUUGGAUUCCAAUCUUUCAAGAACUCCCUUUUUAAAGCAGCACAGUAC
rnacentral:lncRNA from 1 species